rnacentral:rRNA from 1 species
AUUGAACGCUGGCGGCAUGCCUUACACAUGCAAGUCGAACGGCAGCACGGGAGCAAUCCUGGUGGCGAGUGGCGAACGGGUGAGUAAUAUAUCGGAACGUGCCCAGUUGUGGGGGAUAACGUAGCGAAAGCUACGCUAAUACCGCAUACGAUCUAUGGAUGAAAGGGGGGGAUCGCACGACCUCGCGCGAUUGGAGGGGCCGAUAUCAGAUUAGGUAGUUGGUGAGGUAAAGGCUCACCAAGCCGACGAUCUGUAGCUGGUCUGAGAGGACGACCAGCCACACUGGGACUGAGACACGGCCCAGACUCCUACGGGAGGCAGCAGUGGGGAAUUUUGGACAAUGGGCGCAAGCCUGAUCCAGCAAUGCCGCGUGCAGGAUGAAGGCCUUCGGGUUGUAAACUGCUUUUGUACGGAGCGAAAAGGCUUCCACUAAUACUGGGGGCUCAUGACGGUACCGUAAGAAUAAGCACCGGCUAACUACGUGCCAGCCGCCGCGGUAA